GGCCAGUUUUGCUCUAGAGAGAACACAUUUUGAAAAUUGCCAAAAAGUCAGAAGAAAUGUACUACUGUAUAAAGCAAAGCUGUAUAUACUGAGCAUUUUUAGCAGAGUAAUAUUUAUUUGCAUAGCCUAUUUAUUGUAUUUGUAUUACACUGUUAUUAAAUACCAGGAUGAAAUCACUGACCAGAAGCAAGAACUCUUGCCUUUGGAUGUCUCAUUGCUUAGGACCGCCGUGAUGCUGUCAGCUUGGGAUAACAAUUAGAAGAUAGAAAACCCACAGUCCGGGCGUCUACCUAACUUCUCAGGGACUACACCUCGUAGUUUUCCACCAUUAUAAGCGCUGGUAAAUAUGAAACAUUUGUUGAGUUACCAGACUGCCGUUGACAGUGUUUGAUUUCUCAUAGUUCAUGCUUUCUGCCUCUGUGUACAUGACUCUGCUGUGUAUUUAUCAAAGUAGGAAGCAAUAAUUUAUAUGUAAAAAUGGCCAAGCAAUAUAAGGUUAAAACUUACAUAAGUAACCAUUACCUUAUCUUGUAUUUUCAAGUGUUUUUUAAAUCUGCUUUUCCAAAUAUAAGACUAUGUUAAAG
rnacentral:lncRNA from 1 species